UACGAAGGGGGCUAGCGUUGCUCGGAAUGACUGGGCGUAAAGGGCGCGUAGGCGGCUUGUAUAGUCGGAUGUGAAAUUCCUGGGCUUAACCUGGGGGCUGCAUACGAGACGUAUGGGCUUGAGUGCGGAAGAGGGUCGUGGAAUUCCCGGUGUAGCAGUGAAAUGCGUAGAGAUCAUGAGGAAGACCAGUGGCGAAGGCGGGUCUCUGGACAGUUCCGUGACACUGAGGCACGAAGGCCAGGGGAGCAAACGGG
rnacentral:rRNA from 1 species